rnacentral:rRNA from 1 species
GAUGAACGCUAGCUACAGGCUUAACACAUGCAAGUCGAGGGACCGGCGCACGGGUGAGUAACACGUAUCCAACCUGCCCUUUACUCGGGGAUAGCCUUUCGAAAGAAAGAUUAAUACCCGAUGUAAAGGAUGGGGAUGCGUUCCAUUAGGUUGUUGGUGAGGUAACGGCUAACCAAGCCUUCGAUGGAUAGGGGUUCUGGGAGGAAGGUACCCUGCAUUGGAACUGAGACACGGUCCAAACUCCUAGGGGAGGGAGCAGUGAGGAAUAGUGGUCAAUGGGCGGUAGCCAGAACAAGCCGAGUAGCGUGAAGGAGGAAGGCUUAUGGGUCGUAAACUUCUUUUAUAUAAGAAUAUGUAUUAGAUGAAUAAGGAUCGGCUAACUCCGUGCCAGCAGCCGCGGUAAUAC